rnacentral:lncRNA from 1 species
UAACACUCUGUUACCUANGUUUUAACAUUCUAGAGAUGUAACGGAAAAUAAUGCUAUUUCUUUUUAAGUGCCUGAGGUUCCCAAGAAAGUUGUCGAAGAAAAGAAGGUUCCAGCUGCUGUACCAGAAGCACCUCNAGUUAAAGUGCCUGAAGUACCAAAGAAACCUGUUGUAGAAGAGAAACCUGUGCCUAAGAAACCAGAGCCGCCACCAGCUAAAGUGCCCGAGGUACCAAAGAAACCUGUUCCAGAAGAAAAAGUUCCAGUUGCAGUGCCCAAGAAGCCAGAACCUCCACCUGCUAAAGUGCCUGAAGUACCAAAGAAAGUUCCAGAAAAGAAACCAGAAGUUCCACCCCCAAAAGGUAUGUUCAUUUCUUGAAAAAGAAACAAGAAGAUAGAGAUUUCUGUGUGUUUCUGCUGUGUGAUCUGUGAAAGGGGAACACUUUAAUCUUUG